rnacentral:rRNA from 1 species
UACAGAGGAGCCAAGCGUUGUCCGGAUUGACUGGGCGUAAAGCGCACGCAGGCGGUCGCGCGCGUGGGGUGUGAAAUCUGGCCGCUUAACGGCCAGGCGCCAUCCCAUACGGCACGACUGGAGUGAUGCAGAGGUCGAUGGAAUUGCCGGUGUAGUGGUGGAAUGCGUAGAUAUCGGGAGGAACACCAGUGGCGAAGGCGGUUGCCUGGAGCUUUGCUGACGCUGAUGCGCGAAAGCGUGGGGAGCGAUCCGG